rnacentral:rRNA from 1 species
UAGUUUAGGAAACAGAUGACUAAUAACCGAAAUUAAACUUAGUAUCGCAUGAUACCGAGGUUAAAGGCGCUACGGCGUCACCUAGAGAUGGAUCCGCGGUGCAUUAGUUAGUUGGUGGGGUAAAGGCUUACCAAGACAAUGAUGCAUAGCCGAGUUGAGAGACUGAUCGGCCACAUUGGGACUGAGACACGGCCCAAACUCCUACGGGAGGCUGCAGUAGGGAAUCUUCCACAAUGGGCGAAAGCCUGAUGGAGCAACGCCGCGUGUGUGAUGAAGGCUUUCGGGUCGUAAAGCACUGUUGUAUGGGAAGAACAGCUAGAGUAGGGAAUGACUUUAGUUUGACGGUACCAUACCAGAAAGGGACGGCUAAAUACGUG